UGGCACGGUGCAACACCCCGGGCUUCCCUGAUGAUCUGAUCUUUCUGAUGGCGUGAGCCCCAAUGCACGUGCUAAAACGGUGCCGUUUAGUGUUGCAGUUUGGCUUCGAUGCUAUUCCCACGGCUCAUCUGUGUCAAAGAAACGGCUACAUCU